CACUUAACUUCUACAACUCAUUGUACAUGUAUAAUUGUGGCAUUUUUCCACAUCUUUGCUUAUUUCAUGUUUAUAUUUUUAAGAUCCUUAACGGGUCCAUAUUUUCUCUUUCGGGAAAAGUUAUCUUUUUGUAUUUAUUGUAUAUAAAGUUAAAGAAUUGAAUGUUGGCGUUACAGUAGUGUUAGUGACUUUAUGUUGUGUAAUGCUGGUAAAUGUGCAUGCCAAAUUAUAACUCUAAGUAUAGUAGUUUCCAGAGAAUACCCCUAAUGUCAUUGUUAAACCAUUUGGUACAAACUAACUGUUAUUUCAUAGACUUUACCCAUAUUUACCCACUGACUGUUUUGAACAUGGGAAUGAAUCCUCGUUGAACUGAAGAAAAUGCGAUGACAUGAAGGAAAAGAGAACUGUUUAGAAGUAUUGAUGCUGCCAAAAUGAUGAUACGUGGAAAGUCCCAUUUCCAAAUGGUAGCACCAUUGUAGAGAAAACCAGUUAAUAUUUGUGAACGAUGCACAUCACCAUGUUAAGUUAUAGUAACCCUGUAAUAAUUAGAUGCAUACUUGCACCCUGUGACACAAUCCAAUGUGAGAAUGACAGAACUAUUACAUUGAUCUCUAUCUCUACAUGGAUAUUUCACCAAUCCAGCCAAUAACAAUGACAUGUUUAUAACAGGCCCGAUUCAGACUUGAGAUAAGUAUACUUAACAUGGACUUAAGACAACAUAUACAUGUCUGAAUUGGGCCCAACAUGAGUAACAGGACAAUCAUACACAGACAGUAUUGACAGUUUUUUUCCCCCACAUGGCUUUGUUAGUUUGUUAGUUGAUAUUUCUCCUCAUAAGGUUAAGAUGUACGUCCCAACUCGCACCCUUUUCCCUUCAUAGUGCACCAGAGCCUUGGUCAAAAGUGGUUCACUAUUAAAAGACUAGGGUGCCAUUUAGGACAUAAUCUAGAAUUGCCAUAGUCUGUUGUAACCUAGUAGUACCCAACGCUGCUUUGACUUUUUCCUCUUUUAAAGUGUUUUAAACUUCAAUAAAGAUGCCAUAGCUCAGGGCUAGGGGGAGUGUUGUCUUGUCUGGUUGAGGCAUGUAGCCUAGCGGACCAGUAACCGAAAGGUCGCUGGUUCGAAUCCCGAACUGAUUAGGUAAAAAAAUAUUGAGCAGGGCACGUAACCUUAGUUGCUCUGGAUAAGAGUUGUCUCUACUGUGACUUACUGCUCACAAGGGUUGGGGUCAACCAAAAUAGGGUGUUGGCUGUGAAACAUAUUGUUCUUCUCUGUACAUUGUUUGGGGUCUUGACAUGGUGAAAUAACUCAAUAGAUUGGUAACUAUGUGUGUUCUAAUUUGGCACACAGACACCAGAGCCCAUGAGUAACUUGGUGAAAGAAUGGCACCGACUGGCCUGUAGGAGGCGCUGUUAUAAGAAGUUAUAAGAAGUCUCACUUUGACCGAGAGACCUGAAACUUUGUAUGUUAGGUGUUUUUACUCAUGCUAAACAAAUAUACCUCAAGGACCCAUAGGAUAGAUUUUCCUCCAUCUUGGAAAACUUUAGAAGAAAAAAAAGGUUUUCUCAUGAACCAGAAGACCAAAUAACACAUUGUCUAUGUAUGGUAGAUUAUAUCAAUUUAGUUUGACUAAGGGAUUGGUUAAGAGAUGGCUGAGUUAUUGAUAAAUCAGGAAACAUUUUUAGGGUCAUUACCAUGAUGAACCAUGUUAAGUCUGGAAUUGAAAUCUUUAAAAAAUAAGGGAAAAUAUUAACGAUACACUUUUUUGACUAUUUAACACUAAUGUUUUAAAUAAUAAUAAAAAAAUCUUCUUCUCCUGGACUAAAAGUCAGAUUCACUCCAGAUUUGUUCUUUGGAUCACAAUAGUCCCUAAAUAGUUUGAGAAAAUAAAGCUGAUGCAUUCAAAGAUGGCCACACUAUACCAGUAGAUGCAUAUUAGCACAUACUGUAUGUUAAUAUGCAAAAUUAUGCAAAAAAUACUUUAAAAAAAUAUUAUUCUCAUGAAACAUAUGUCCAAAUGACACCAAAUUAGAAAUGUAGUCCCAUGGUACAUGUCGUAGUUUGAGAAAAGCUGAGGGAUUGGUUACGAGAUGGCUGAGUUAUUGACAUGUCUAAAAUCUGAUUUCACCUGUCCAUUUAAACCACUGUAAAUCCAGUCCACAGUCAGGGCUAUCAACUUGAAACUCAUCGCUAUUAUGGACAUCCCUAAGAUGAACCUCACUGAAUUUGAUAUUGAUAGAUAUAAAAAAAAGGAAAUUAUUAACAACUCAUUCUUUGCAAAUGUAACACUAAAAGCUCAAAAAUCAUCUGCAGUCAUCAUCUCCCCAUGACGUCAGAUUCACCCCACAUUUUGUAUGUAGACUCUUUGUAUCAGUCUUUAAUGGUUUUGAGAUUUUUCUGUUGCUGCAUUCAAAUAUGGCCACUCUGUACCUAUAUAUGUACGUUAGCACAUAUGCUAAUGUUAAAAUACUUUAAACAUCUUCUCAUUAGAAAACUUGUCAGAUUGACUCCAGAUUUGGUAUAUAGACUCAAUGAAUGAUCUUCUAAUGAAUCUGAGAAUGAUUACUUGCUGCAUUCAAAGUCAGACAUGCUAUACCACUAAAUGACACCGUAUCACACCAGGGCUAUAAGAAUUGAACCGAUGGACAAGGGCCAUGAAAUGUGGUAUGUAAACCUAAUGUAUAUGUCCUUAGAAGCUGUGUGAAUAAAAGUCACUGCAACCUUAGAUGGCAGACCAGUUGAUGGCACUAUAGAUGUCAUCGGCACCACUAUAGAUGUCAUUGGCACCAGUGGCACCAUAGGAUCUAGAGCAAUAAAUAUUGAUAAAGUGGACUUUGUUUCAUGCAAAUGAAUGUUAGAUUUAAAUUAUGAAGAUAAACAAUAUGAAAUAUCUUGAUUAGUAUUUCUGUAUUAUCACAUAUUGUUGCCUUUUUAUGUGGCUUGCGUAGUCAGCAUAUAUAACACUCAAUACAUGAAGGAAUGGCUUUAAGAAUGAUUACCUGCUUCAUUCAAAAUAACCAACCUACAUUACUAGACUAAACUUCACUUGCAUCAUCCUUGUGGUAUUGAGAUAAACAUGGUAAUGCUUUCACUGAUUGCACACAAAGGAAGAUAGUUCCUACAUGAUAGAGUGCUUGCUUUGUUAUCUAACUGAUCUUGUGUCCUUUUUGUCAUCCUGUGAACCCCGUUCAUUGCUGCUCACUGCUAUUUUUCCAAUUUCACAUUUUCCUAAAUGAAAAGCAUUGAAGAGAAUUGGAAUUUCAGUGUAAUUGACCCCAACCGUGCUGCUCGCCAUGUAUUCCUUGUCAGAAAAUAUUGGCCGAUAAUUUGUUACCAAAUGAAAUGUCCGAUAAUUUGUUACCAAAUGAAAUGUCCGACAUUUUGUUACUAAAUUAAAUGUCUGACAUUUUGUUACUAAAUUAAAUGUCCGAUAAUUUGUUCCCAAAUUAAAUGUUAUUCUGCCUUUGUAUGCAAUUACCAACUAAGAGAGUUGAAAUGUUUAUGACUGGUGCGCUUUAUUAAGAUGAAUUGAUAACUUAAGAUUAAACAAAAACACAAUUAUACAAUUGAUCAAUCUGUACAAAACAUAAAACCGUCCGUUUCGACUACCCCCCCACACACACAUAAUCCUCCAAAUGCAUUGAAAUUACAUCGUUUGUCUUUCAAAUGUUUUACAAUGGAAUUACAAUCAGUUAUAGUGACAGCAUGUCAUUAUAGUUCAACAACAAUCAUGAACUAAAAACAUAGUUCAUUAAAAAACAAUGGAGGUAUAUGAGAAGGCUUGAAAUCAUUUUUCAAACAAGGACAAAAACAAUCACUUCUCUACACUUCCAUAGACUGCUAGUCCGAAAAAGGAUCCUAUAUACCCUAUCUAGUGCACUACUUUUGACCAGAUCCCUAUGGGCCCUGGUCAACAGUAGUGCACUAGAUAGGGAAUAUGGUGCCCUAGUUGUGUGUUGACAGGCUGACAGUACCGUCUGUUAGAUAACGCCAUUGGUACUGUCAGACGGACACACUCACUCAAUAGCUACCUACCUUUGCUUCUAUACACACACACACACUCACGCACACACACACACACACGCACGGCUCAAGCGCUAUAUUUCCAUGGUUACAAUACCAGCAUCACACGCAGAUACAGCUACAGUAGGAGUUCAACAGAACACUCUGAAUUAGCCUGGAAUCACAACUGAUUUAGCUACAUUUCACUGUUGUUUCAAAUGGUGAGCGCAGCACUCAAGUCUGGUUUAACCAGGCUAACUCUGAAAUAUUAGUCAUGUGAUUUAGCAGGAACCUCCGUCCUACAUCAGUGACAGAGCAGUGGAACUAUAGAUGGGUUGCCUGGCAACGUUACAACAAUGAUGUAAACUGAUUUUUUUUAUUUUUUAUAAACAUUUACAGACUAAAUAUAGUUUACAUGUUGUCAAUAAUCCUAUGAUUGUAAGCCAACCCUGUCAGUUUCCUGCCUCUCGGAUGCGCGAGCCAGGGUUGGCGUCAAUUCCAUUUCAAUUCGUAAAAGUAAACAAUUCACACAAAAGAAAUUCAUUGAAAAGAGAAUUUGAACUUCCUGAAUUGACUGGAAUUUAAAUGGAAUUCACCCCAACCCUGGCAUCGGUUUUGUACGUAAACAUCCCAUCCGUAUACAGGAUGGAGGCUAUGUAGUGACAUUAGUGCCACCAGGAAUGUCAUUUGAAUUCAGAAAUGUCAUUUUAGUUCUAUUUCUGGUGGUAGUAAUAUUAGCCUGGGUGCCAGUCUGUUUAUGCUCUCUUCCCAACUCCAUAUGGAACUGUCAUGUAAAACAUGGUUUGGCUUGACAAUGGACUAGGGAAAAACAAAAACAGAUCUGGGACCAGGCUAUAGUAAUAUCACUACAUUAGAGGCAGAUCUGGGACCAGGCCAUAGUAAUAUCACUACAUUAGAGGCAGAUCUGGGACCAGGCCAUAGUAAUAUCACUACAUUAGAGGCAGAUCUGGGACCAGGCUAUAGUAAUUUCACUACAUUAGAGGCAGAUCUGGGACCAGGCCAUAGUAAUAUCACUACAUUAGAGGCAGAGCUGAGACCAGGCUAUAGUAAUAUCACUACAUUAGAGGCAGAUCUGGGACCAGGCCAUAGUAAUAUCACUACAUUAGAGGCAGAUCUGAGACCAGGCUAUAGUAAUAUCACUACAUUAGAGGCAGAUCUGGGACCAGGCCAUAGUAAUAUAACCUCAUAAGAGGUCCACUCUAGGGACUUGUUAAGCAUGGCAUCUAGCUCCAGCAUCCAGGUGGGGAUUAUCAGGUUACAUUACCCCUCUCAUGGUUGGGUUUCAAUACCAUUUUAAUACAGUCAAUCCAGGAAAUAAAUCCAGGAAAUACAUUUCAUUUCAAUUUACUUUCUGGAUUGUCUGAACUGAACCAUCUAACGGUUCUAGCCUUUGUUAGCCUCAACACACAUCACUGUUCCUCUGCCUAAAACAGGUGGCUUAUCUUAUAGAGAGAGAUAUACAUGAAUGGGUUAAUAUGGAACAAACAGACCUCAGCAGAACAGAUAUAUAAUACUACUACUAAUAAUAAUGACCUAGCUACAUACGUAAGGCAUAAUAAUCAUUUUGGUUGGGACUAUAUUAAUGAAGUAGAAAGCCAUGCAUUGUGUUGAAGUAAGAGGCAGCUUGGUGUAAACAGGCUUUAAUGUGACGGACUGUGAUAACACUGGACAACGUGAUAAGAGUCAGACCAGAUCUGGGCAGAAACUACAUAACUGUGUCUAAAAAUACUUUUAAAUACUUCAUAUUUGAGAAAAGACUGGGAAAUAAUUUUAAAGUAUUUCCAAGUAUUUUGAGGUGUGCAUGAUUUAGCUUAGUGGGUUUGCACUUUUGGGACUAUUCUGUUGGUCCCAUUGAACAAGGCAAACCGAAUCCGCUCAAGUAUUUAGAAGUAUUUGAUCCAGGUCUGUCUGGUGAUAGCUGGAGCUAUAUAGGUGGUUAGUUGGCCAGUAGGAACGUUCUAUAGUAGAUGGUAGUAGAGGUGGUUAGUUGACCAGUAGGAACGUUCUAUAGUAGAUGGUAGUAGAGGUGGUUAGUUGGCCAGUAGGAACGUUCUAUAGUAGAUGGUAGUAGAGGUGGUUAGUUGACCAGUAGGAAUGUUCUAUAGUAGAUGGUAGUACAGGUGGUUAGUUGGCCAGUAGGAACGUUCUAUAGUAGAUGGUAGUACAGGUGGUUAGUUGGCCAGUAGGAACGUUCUAUAGUAGAUGGUAGUAGAGGUGGUUAGUUGGCCAGUAGGAACGUUCUAUAGUAGAUGGUAGUAGAGGUGGUUAGUUGACCAGUAGGAACGUUCUAUAGUAGAUGGUAGUAGAGGUGGUUAGUUGACCAGUAGGAACGUUCUAUAGUAGAUGGUAGUAGAGGUGGUUAGUUGACCAGUAGGAACGUUCUAUAGUAGAUGGUAGUAGAGGUGGUUAGUUGACCAGUAGGAACGUUCUAUAGUAGAUGGUAGUAGAGGUGGUUAGUUGGCCAGUAGGAACGUUCUAUAGUAGAUGGUAGUAGAGGUGGUUAGUUGGCCAGUAGGAACGUUCUAUAGUAGAUGGUAGUAGAGGUGGUUAGUUGACCAGUAGGAACGUUCUAUAGUAGAUGGUAGUAGAGGUGGUUAGUUGGCCAGUAGGAACGUUCUAUAGUAGAUGGUAGUAGAGGUGGUUAGUUGACCAGUAGGAACGUUCUAUAGUAGAUGGCAGUAGAGGUGGUUAGUUGGCCAGUAGGAACGUUCUAUAGUAGAUGGUAGUAGAGGUGGUUAGUUGGCCAGUAGGAACGUUCUAUAGUAGAUGGUAGUAGAGGUGGUUAGUUGACCAGUAGGAACGUUCUAUAGUAGAUGGCAGUAGAGGUGGUUAGUUGGCCAGUAGGAACGUUCUAUAGUAGAUGGCAGUAGAGGUGGUUAGUUGGCCAGUAGGAACGUUCUAUAGUAGAUGGUAGUAGAGGUGGUUAGUUGGCCAGUAGGAACGUUCUAUAGUAGAUGGUAGUAGAGGUGGUUAGUUGACCAGUAGGAACGUUCUAUAGUAGAUGGUAGUAGAGGUGGUUAGUUGACCAGUAGGAACGUUCUAUAGUAGAUGGUAGUAGAGGUGGUUAGUAGAGUUAUUGGAUUUGAAUGAGUGGUAGAGGGAGGCACAGAGUGAACAGCAGCUAAACUAAAUAAUGUGACCCAGUAUAUGGAUGUCACCCUGUUCCCUAUCUAGUGCACUACUUUAGACCAGAACCCAAUUCCCUAUAUUGUGCACUACUUUAGACCAGAGCCCUAUUCCCUAUAUUGUGCACUACGUUAGACCAGAGCCCUAUUCCCUAUCUAGUGCACUACUUUUCACAAAAGCCCUAUGAGCCUGGUCAAAGGUAGUGAACUAAUAGGGAAUAGGGUGACAUUUGGGACAAAGAUCCAAUCUAUGUAUUUAAAACAUGUUGUUUUACUAACAGAAGCUUCUUGACACGAGUGAUAAACUGAUGGACAUUCUGAACACAUCUCCUAACUAGAGCAGUAAUACAAGGCUAGAUUACCACUCUGAUUCCUACUGAAUCAUCUCUGUCAGCAACUCAUUUCAUAGCUUCUUUUCACAGUUUGAUAUUUCGUCAAAUAAAAUAAUGUCAAUUAAUAUUCUCUGGUAUCGGACUGUCGCUGCAUAGAAUAUAGUAUAGCAUCACAUUUACACUAGAUGUAUACAUGCACAUUCAAUACAAGUUAUUACUUGAAGAGAAAUACCUAGAAUUUGUUGGUUAGUCUAUAUGUUGUUUACAUAUUUUAUAUGUUUAAUGUUGUUUACAUAU